GUCUCUGUUAACUCAGUUGGUUUGAGCAUGGUGCUGAUAAUACCAAGGUCGCAGGUUUGAUCCCCAUACAGGCCA